GGUGAAGCCCAGCUUGCUGGGUGGAUCAGUGGCGAACGGGUGAGUAACACGUGAGCAAUCUGCCCCUGACUCUGGGAUAAGCGCUGGAAACGGCGUCUAAUACUGGAUAUGAGCUGCGAUCGCAUGGUCAGUAGCUGGAAAGAUUUUUUGGUCAGGGAUGAGCUCGCGGCCUAUCAGCUUGUUGGUGAGGUAAUGGCUCACCAAGGCGUCGACGGGUAGCCGGCCUGAGAGGGUGACCGGCCACACUGGGACUGAGACACGGCCCAGACUCCUACGGGAGGCAGCAGUGGGGAAUAUUGCACAAUGGGCGCAAGCCUGAUGCAGCAACGCCGCGUGAGGGAUGACGGCCUUCGGGUUGUAAACCUCUUUUAGCAGGGAAGAAGCGAAAGUGACUGUACCUGCAGAAAAAGCGCCGGCUAACUACGUGCCAGCAGCCGCGGUAAUACGUAGGGCGCAAGCGUUAUCCGGAAUUAUUGGGCGUAAAGAGCUCGUAGGCGGUUUGUCGCGUCUGCUGUGAAAUCCCGAGGCUCAACCUCGGGUCUGCAGUGGGUACGGGCAGACUAGAGUGCGGUAGGGGAGAUUGGAAUUCCUGGUGUAGCGGUGGAAUGCGCACAUAUCAGGAGGAACACCGAUGGCGAAGGCAGAUCUCUGGGCCGUAACUGACGCUGAGGAGC
rnacentral:rRNA from 1 species